GGCUCGUUGGUCUAGGGGUAUGAUUCUUGCUUUGGGUGUGAGAGGUCACGGGUUCAAAUCCCGGACGAGCCC
rnacentral:tRNA from 2 species